rnacentral:lncRNA from 10 species
CCUUAGAUGGCACAUGGUCCCUGGAGACCUGCUGAAGAGACCAUAUGAUGGAAUCCUGAGAGUUCUCAGAAGCACCUGGAUAGUGUGAUCUUGCACAAUGGGGUCACACAAUCAUCCAUGAAAGCAAGGAUGAGGGCCAAAUAAUGCAGAGGGAGUGAUGGAGGAAUACUGAAGACAGAAAAUCAUCAGGUUUAACCUCACUUCCAGUUUCCUGCCAUUAUCCAGAAAAGGAAGACCACUAAUUAAGAGGUAAAUGGCAGUUUUAUAUUUUCAUGGUUAAAUAACACAGACUUUUAGUGCUUAAAGGAACUAGUGUUAUACCCUUCAUUAUGAACACAAGAAAAUGAGUUCUAGAAUAAGUGUCCAUAGCUUCAGUGCCACAUAUUAAUAGGGAGUCAGAAAGCCUCCUCAGAUAACAUGUGAAAGAAGUGUGCCCAAACACUACAGAAGACUGGAGAACAGGACUGUCUUGUAACAUGACAGAAAGCAUGUCAAUUUGGGAGGCAGAAGGACUGCAAUUCAAAUGGCUCUAUACCUAUUAGCUGGCUCUACCCCUAAAUGGCUGGAUUAUCGGAGGCAAAUUGGUUAACUUAUCAGGUUCUCAGUUUCUACAUUUGAAAAAUGAGGAUAGUGACAACUAAUUUUCAGUUGUUGGAGAAUUAGAAAUAAUAUAUGAAUAAUGUAUAUUGUAGAUCCAAACACUAAUCACAGCUGAGUUGUGUAGUAAAUGCUGAUUAAUUUUAAAUAGUAUUCCUAAGUAUAAAAAUAACAUACAUGUAAUAUAUAAUAUAGAUAAAAGCUAUAUUUAUAUAUAGAUAAAAGUUUAUUUAUAUUUUGAUAUAUAUAAGCUUUUUUAUAUAUUUUAAUUUUAAUGUAAUUGAUCAGUAUUCUCCUUUAAGUAAUAUACACAUUUGUUUUGUGUGUGUGUAAAUUAAAUAUAUUUGUUUUCCUGUUUCAAUCUUCUCUUUGGUUUUUGAAUUUAAGAAAUGGGUUUGAAUGUAUUUAUUUAAGUGGGCUGAUGGUAUAUCACAUGUAAACUUAUUUUAAUAAAGAGAGAACAUAUGGUUUUCAUUCUUUUAUAAAAUUGUGAAAUAUAUAUACAUAAGAAUGUAUGAAAUGUAUAUACACUAUAUAAAUAGAAAUAACAAAGUGAACAUUAAGUAUCUACUGUUUCUGAUACAAAAUAAAACACUGCCAAUAAUUGGAA